UACGGGGGGAGCAAGCGUUGUUCGGAUUUACUGGGCGUAAAGGGCGCGUAGGCGGCGCAACAAGUCACUUGUGAAAUCUCCGGGCUUAACUCGGAACGGUCAAGUGAUACUGUUGUGCUAGAGUGCGGAAGGGGCAACUGGAAUUCUCGGUGUAGCGGUGAAAUGCGUAGAUAUCGAGAGGAACACCUGCGGCGAAGGCGGGUUGCUGGGCCGACACUGACGCUGAUGCGCGAAAGCCAGGGGAGCGAACGGGAUUAGACUACCCC
rnacentral:rRNA from 1 species